ACAGGGAUAGAAGCUUGGCUUCCUCUACUCAACCCAUCCAACAGUGAUGACGUCAGCCUGGGAAGUCCGUGUGCGGCUGUCGCAACUUCGAACUUGGGUCACCAGCACGUCCGGGGCGAUCUGUCGUAACUUGGAACCAUGACUAAGGAACCAGUCGUUAAGGGAGAACUACUUGUGCCACCUUGACUGUUACCUCAAUGGCAGAAAAUGCAGGUGGUCCUUGACUUACAACUACAAUGGAGUGGAGGUUGAGAAACACUGCCCUAGUGUAAACUACAUAGGAAAUCAGCUGUGGAAAAGAUCGUGCUAUGCUCUUGUUCAAGGUCUCUGCUCCUUUAGCGGCUGGGACCCUUUUGCUGAAACGCUUCGAUAAACGUUUUGCGAACGUCCGUCGCUCGUGUCUGGCUCUGAUGGGCUUCUGUGCCAGGCGGAUCUAUCUUUUGGGGACAACAUGGCCAUCAAUCAUAGCUUUCAGUACUGCUGUCGCUUCAAACAGACGCUAAACAGAUGGGUUUUAA